rnacentral:rRNA from 1 species
UACGAGUGCCCCAAGCGUUAUCCGGAAUUAUUGGGUGUAAAGGGUGUGUAGGCUGUUUUGUUAGUCGUGUGUUAAAUCUCCAGGCUUAACCUGGAAACCAGCACGCGAUACGGCAAACUAGAGGAUGCGAGAGAUGUGUGGAACUCAUAGUGUAGGGGUGAAAUCCGUUGAUAUUAUGGGGAACACCUAAAAGCGAAGGCAGCACAUUGGCGCACUCCUGAACGUUGAACACGAAAAAGCGUGGGGUAGCGAAUGGGGA